GAUGAACGCUAGCGAUAGGCUUAACACAUGCAAGUCGAGGGGCAGCAUGGUCUUAGCUUGCUAAGACUGAUGGCGACCGGCGCACGGGUGCGUAACGCGUAUGCAACUUGCCUCACAGAGGGGGAUAACCCGUCGAAAGACGGACUAAUACCGCGUACACUUGGGAUAGGGCAUCCUGACCCAAGGAAAUGAAAUUCGCUGUGAGAUAGGCAUGCGUCCCAUUAGCUAGUUGGUGAGGUAACGGCUCACCAAGGCGACGAUGGGUAGGGGAACUGAGAGGUUGAACCCCCACACUGGUACUGAGACACGGACCAGACUCCUACGGGAGGCAGCAGUGAGGAAGAUUGGUCAAUGGGCGAGAGCCUGAACCAGCCAAGUCGCGUGAAGGAUGACUGUCUUAUGGAUUGUAAACUUCUUUUAUACGGGAAUAACAAGAGCCACGUGUGGCUCCCUGCAGGUACCGUAUGAAUAAGCAUCGGCUAACUCCGUG
rnacentral:rRNA from 1 species